AUCGAUGAAGAACGCAGCGAAAUGCGAUACGUAAUGUGAAUUGCAGAAUUCAGUGAAUCAUCGAAUCUUUGAACGCACCUUGCGCCCCUUGGCAUUCCGAGGGGCACACCCGUUUGAGUGUCGUGAAAUUCUCAAAAUCCUUUUCUUUGAUCGGAAUAGGACUUUUGGACUUGGAGGUUCAAUGCUCGCUUUCGCCUUUGAAAGCGAGCUCCUCUCAAAUGAAUCAGUGRGGUCCGCUUUGCUGGUCCUUGACGUGAUAAGAUGCUUCUACGUUUUGGAUUUGGCAUUGUUUUCUCCGCUCCUAACUGUCCCCAUGGGACAACGAUGGUGCUUCGGUCGUCGCCAUCUAUGGCGGAAGGCUGAACCCACAAAGAACCUUGACCUCAAAUCGGGUGAGACUACCCGCUGAACUUAAGCAUAUCAAUAAGCGGAGGAAAAGAAACUAACAAGGAUUCCCCUAGUAACUGCGAGUGAAGCGGGAAAAGCUCAAAUUUAAAAUCUGGUGGUCUUUGGCCAUCCGAGUUGUAAUUUAGAGAAGCGUCUUCCGCGCUGGACCGUGCACAAGUCUCCUGGAAUGGAGCGUCAUAGAGGGUGAGAAUCCCGUCUUUGGCACGGAUGUACCAGGGCUUUUGUGAUGCGCUCUCGAAGAGUCGAGUUGUUUGGGAAUGCAGCUCAAAAUGGGUGGUGAACUCCAUCUAAAGCUAAAUAUUGGCGAGAGACCGAUAGCGAACAAGUACCGUGAGGGAAAGAUGAAAAGCACUUUGGAAAGAGAGUGAAACAGUACGUGAAAUUGUUGAAAGGGAAACGCUUGAAGUCAGUCGCGUCGACCGAGACUCAGCCUUGCCUCGGCUUGGUGUACUUCUCGGCUGACGGGUCAGCRUCAAUUUUGCCCCUUGGAUAAUGGCGAGGGAAAUGUGACACCUUUACGGUGUGUUAUAGUCCUUCGUCGCAUGCAAGGGUCGGGAUUGAGGAACUCAGCACGCGCCCUCGGGCGUCGGGGCUUUGCCCACGAUACGUGCUUAGGAUGUUGGCGUAAUGGCUUUAAACGACCCGUCUUGAAACACGG
rnacentral:rRNA from 1 species